GGCGAACGGGUGCAUAACACGUGAGAAACCUGCCUCAGUCUCUGGGAUAACAGUUGGAAACGACUGCUAAUACCGGAUGCCGUCACACCAUCACAUGUUGGAGUGACGAAAGAUUUAUCGGAUUGAGAGGGUCUCGCGGCCUAUCAGCUAGUUGGAGAGGUAACGGCUCACCAAGGCAUCGACGGGUAGCUGGUCUGAGAGGAUGAUCAGCCACACUGGGACUGAGACACGGCCCAGACUCCUACGGGAGGCAGCAGUGGGGAAUCUUGCACAAUGGGCGAAAGCCUGAUGCAGCAACGCCGCGUGCGGGAAGAAGGCCCUAGGGUUGUAAACCGCUUUCAGUAGGGAAGAAAAUGACGGUACCUACAGAAGAAGGUGCGGCCAACUACGUGCCAGCAGCCGCGGUGACACGUAGGCACCAAGCGUUAUCCGGAUUUAUUGGGCGUAAAGAGCUCGUAGGCGGUUCGGUAAGUCGGGUGUGAAAACUCUGGGCUCAACCCAGAGAGGCCACCCGAUACUGCUGUGACUAGAGUGCGGUAGGGGAGCGGGGAAUUCCUGGUGUAGCGGUGAAAUGCGCAGAUAUCAGGAGGAACACCAGCGGCGAAGGCGCCGCUCUGGGCCGUAA
rnacentral:rRNA from 1 species